UACGGAGGGGGCUAGCGUUGUUCGGAAUUACUGGGCGUAAAGCGCACGUAGGCGGCUUUGUAAGUUAGAGGUGAAAGCCCGGGGCUCAACUCCGGAACUGCCUUUAAGACUGCAUCGCUAGAAUUGUGGAGAGGUAAGUGGAAUUCCGAGUGUAGAGGUGAAAUUCGUAGAUAUUCGCAAGAACACCAGUGGCGAAGGCGGCUCACUGGCCCGGUACUGACGCUGAGGUGCGAAAGCGUGGGGAGCAAACAGG
rnacentral:rRNA from 1 species